AGGUAAGUAGAUCUUAUGCUCCUUAUUUAUUUUUAAAUGAUCAUGUUUUUAUGCAAAGAAUUGCUAUUGAUGAAAUCAUAAUUUUUCAUAAAAUGAGGAUCGGCAUAUGUGAUAUGAAAAAGCAUGUUUUAUUAUGAGCAUUAAUUUCAUGAAUAUGUCUUAUGAAAAUAGCAUGAUUAUGAAGCAUGAAUUUCAUUAUUUUUCCAUCUAUGUAUAUGUAUGCUUUAAGAAAAAGAUAUAAAGAUUUCAAAGGCUCUCAGAUGGCUAUGAAUGAAUCCCUUCAGGAAGGUC
rnacentral:lncRNA from 1 species